rnacentral:misc_RNA from 1 species
UUUGUCUCCUGCCUUGCCUUUAUUUGCACGAUGGAUUACCCUCAGGGGUUUCUUGUUUCUGGCAGUGGUGAUUCUACAGUUCGCUUGUGGGAUAUUACAUCUGGGUUUCUUCUUGAUACUUGUGAAGUUGGUGCUAAGGCAGGACUUCUAGAGUCCAAUAGAAGUGAUGAGGGCUGUUCUACUGUCUCUGAUCUGUGCAUAAUUCUAGA